AUUAACGAAAGUUCAGAUUUAGAAGAGACAAUUAUUCGACGUCAUGUUUGUCAUUCUACAAUUCUUGAUUUUCUUGCUUCGACUAAUAUUGCCAUAUAUAAACUCUGUUCUCAUCAAUUUAGAAAACCUUCUCCAACGUAUAUUUCCCCUGCUCAACAUUUUCCAUGAAUCUCCUCCUGGUUUACUCAAAUAAACAAGCGCGAAAUGAGGUCCAACAUCAAU